AAUGACAAAGGAUUUGUAAACUU
rnacentral:piRNA from 1 species